GUCUGGAUAAAGUCAAAGAGAAGCUCCAAAACAUCGAAAACAUACUAAGAACUAACAUGUCUUCCGGACCA